rnacentral:rRNA from 1 species
UACGGAGGGUGCAAGCGUUAUCCGGAUUCACUGGGCUUAAAGGGCGCGUAGGCGGGUGCUCAAGUCCGUGGUGAAAUCCUCCGGCUCAACCGGAGAACUGCCUCGGAUACUGGGUGCCUCGAGGGUGGUAGGGGUAUGCGGAACUAUCGGUGGAGCGGUGAAAUGCGUUGAUAUCGAUAGGAACUCCGGUGGCGAAGGCGGCAUACUGGACCACCUCUGACGCUGAGGCGCGAAAGCCAGGGGAGCAAACGGG